rnacentral:rRNA from 1 species
CCUACGGGUGGCAGCAGUGGGGAAUAUUGCGCAAUGGGGGCAACCCUGACGCAGCCAUGCCGCGUGAAUGAAGAAGGCCUUCGGGUUGUAAAGUUCUUUCGGUAUCGAGGAAGGCUGAUGUAAUAAUAGUGCAGGAAAUUGACGUUAAAUACAGAAGAAGCACCGGCUAACUCCGUGCCAGCAGCCGCGGUAAUACGGAGGGUGCGAGCGUUAAUCGGAAUAACUGGGCGUAAAGGGCACGCAGGCGGUUAUUUAAGUGAGGUGUGAAAGCCCCGGGCUUAACCUGGGAAUUGCAUUUCAGACUGGGUAACUAGAGUGCUUUAGGGAGGGGUAGAAUUCCACGGGUAGCGGUGAAAUGCGUAGAGAUGUGGAGGAAUACCGAAGGCGAAGGCAGCCCCUUGGGAAUGUACUGACGCUCAUGUGCGAAAGCGUGGGGAGCAAACAGGAUUAGAUACCCUGGUAGUC